GAUGAACGCUGGCGGCGUGCCUAAUACAUGCAAGUCGAGCGAACAGACGAGGAGCUUGCUCCUCUGACGUUAGCGGCGGACGGGUGAGUAACACGUGGAUAACCUACCUAUAAGACUGGGAUAACUUCGGGAAACCGGAGCUAAUACCGGAUAAUAUAUUGAACCGCAUGGUUCAAUAGUGAAAGACGGUUUUGCUGUCACUUAUAGAUGGAUCCGCGCCGCAUUAGCUAGUUGGUAAGGUAACGGCUUACCAAGGCAACGAUGCGUAGCCGACCUGAGAGGGUGGUCGGCCACACGGGAACUGAGACGGGGUCCAGACUCCUACGGGAGGCAGCAGUAGGGAAUCUUCCGCAAUGGGCGAGAGCCUGACGGAGCAACGCCGCGUGAGUGAUGAAGGUCUUCGGAUCGUAAAGCUCUGUUAUUAGGGAAGAACAAAUGUGUAAGUAACUGUGCACGUCUUGACGGUACCUGGUCAGAAAGCCACGGCUAACUACGUG
rnacentral:rRNA from 1 species